rnacentral:rRNA from 1 species
UUGGAGGGCAAGUCUGGUGCCAGCAGCCGCGGUAAUUCCAGCUCCAAUAGCGUAUAUUAAAGUUGUUGCAGUUAAAAGCUCGUAGUUGAAUUUCGGGAUCAGUAUGUUGGUCGUGCUUCGGUACGUACUGUCAUUACUGGUUUCUACCUUCUGAAGAACCUUGAUGUCAUUAAUUUGGUGUCGUUGGGGAAUCAGGACUGUUACUUUAGAAAAAUUGAGUGUUUAAAGCAAGCAUACGCUUGAAUACAUUAGCAUGGAAUAAUGAAAUAGGACGUUUGAUUCUAUUUUGUUGGUUUCUAGGAUCGACGUAAUGAUUAAUAGGGAUAGGUUGGGGGCAUUAGUAUUCAAUUGUCAGAGGUGAAAUUCUUGGAUUUAUUGAAGACUAACUACUGCGAAA